rnacentral:rRNA from 1 species
UACGGGGGGGGCAAGCGUUGUUCGGAAUUACUGGGCGUAAAGGGCUCGUAGGCGGCCAACUAAGUCGGAUGUGAAAUCCCCAGGCUUAACCUGGGAACUGCAUCCGAUACUGGAUGGCUUGAAUCCGGGAGAGGGAUGCAGAAUUCCAGGUGUAGCGGUGAGAUGCGUAGAUAUCUGGAGGAAUACCGGUGGCGAAGGCGGCAUCCUGGACCGGCAUUGACGCUGAUGAGCGAAAGCUAGGGGAGCAAACGGG